CCAAUAGCGUAUAUUAAAGUUGUUGCAGUUAAAAAGCUCGUAGUUGAAUUUCGGGAUCAGUACGCUGGUCAUGCCUUUGGUAUGCACUGGUGUCACUGGUUCCUCCCUUCUGACGAACCGUCAUGCCAUUUACUUGGUGUGGCGGGAAAUCAGGACUGUUACUUUGAAAAAAUUAGAGUGUUUAAAGCAGGCUCACGCUUGAAUACAUUAGCAUGGAAUAAUGAAAUAGGACGUUGAUCUUAUUUUGUUGGUUUCUAGGAUUGACGUAAUGAUUAAUAGGGAUAGUUGGGGGCAUUAGUAUUCAAUUGUCAGAGGUGAAAUUCUUGGAUUUAUUGAAGACUAACUACUGCGAAAGCAUUUGCCAAGGAUGUUUUCAUUAAUCAAGAACGAAAGUUAGGGGAUCGAAGACGAUCAGAUACCGUCGUAGUCUUAACCAUAAACUAUGCCGACUAGGGAUCGGAUGAUGUUAAUUUUUUAAUGACUCAUUCGGCGCCUUACG
rnacentral:rRNA from 1 species